UCCGUAGGUGAACCUGCGGAAGGAUCAUUACCGAGUUGAUUCGGGCUCCGGCCCGAUCCUCCCACCCUUUGUGUACCUACCUCUGUUGCUUUGGCGGGCCGCGGUCCUCCGCGGCCGCCCCCCUCCCCGGGGGGGUGGCCAGCGCCCGCCAGGGGACCAUCAAACUCCAGUCAGUAAACGAUGCAGUCUGAAAAACAUUUAAUAAACUAAAACUUUCAACAACGGAUCUCUUGGUUCUGGCAUCGAUGAAGAACGCAGCGAAAUGCGAUAAGUAAUGUGAAUUGCAGAAUUCAGUGAAUCAUCGAAUCUUUGAACGCACAUUGCGCCCUUUGGUAUUCCGAAGGGCAUGCCUGUUCGAGCGUCAUUACAACCCUCAAGCUCUGCUUGGUAUUGGGCACCGUCCUUUGCGGGCGCGCCUCAAAGACCUCGGCGGUGGCGUCUUGCCUCAAGCGUAGUAGAACAUACAUCUCGCUUCGGAGCGCAGGGCGUCGCCCGCCGGACGAACCUUCUGAACUUUUCUCAAGGUUAACCUCGGAUCAGGUAGGGAUACCCGCUGAACUUAAGCAUAUCAAUAAGCGGAGGA
rnacentral:rRNA from 1 species